GACGAACGCUGGCGGCGUGCUUAACACAUGCAAGUCGAACGAAGAGCGAUGGAAGCUUGCUUCUGUCAAUCUUAGUGGCGAACGGGUGAGUAACGCGUAAUCAACCUGCCCUUCAGAGGGGGACAACAGUUGGAAACGACUGCUAAUACCGCAUACGAUCCAAUCUCGGCAUCGGGACUGGAUGAAAGGUGGCCUCUAUUUAUAAGCUAUCACUGAAGGCGGGGAUUGCGUCUGAUUAGCUAGUUGGAGGGGUAACGGCCCACCAAGGCGAUGAUCAGUAGCCGGUCGGAGAGGAUGAACGGCCACAUUGAGACUGAGACACGGCCCAGACUCCUACGGGAGGCAGCAGGGGGGAAGCUUCCGCGAUGGAUGAGAGUCUGACGGAGCAACGCCGCGUGAGUGAUGACGGCCGUCGGGUGGGAUAGCUCUGUUAAUCGGGACGAAUGGUUCUUGUGCGAAUAGGGCGAGGAGUUGACGGUACCGGAAGAGAAAGCCACGGCUAACUACGUG
rnacentral:rRNA from 1 species